UUCCCCCCACUUUCACCCAGUGAGAAGCAAGCUCAAAGCCACGUCUUAAUUUUUGGAAUAUCAUGGGCUGCCUGCCAAAACUCACUUUAUUUCGCACACCUUUGUUCUGCCCUUUGUCGGGGCUUACUGCAAAGCGCUUUGUGUAACAUAAAGGAAAAAAGAAUGGGAAUCCUGAAUCACAGGGGCUAGGAUUAAUGGAAUGGCUCAUUAGGAACCUAACAAUGUCAUCCUAUCCCCAAUUUAUGCUUGCUGGGUAAAGUAGGAUUGCUCCCAAAUCCCCAUUCACACUGGCAAUCAAAAAGGACACUUUUUGCAACAACUCUUCUGUCAGUGCCAAGGGGGAUAUGGGUCGAAUGAAGGGCAUGUUGAUGGAGGAGCAGGAGUCAGGAUCCUAUGCUUGGGUCAGAUCUGCUCACACCCACUUUGAAUAAUAUCAUGUCUGUAUCUCUUUGGAUUAGCCACUUUUUGUCUCCUGAAUCAGACGUUUCUGUCCUUUGAGAGGAGCACCUUGUUCUGCCCCCAUUUCUUUAAUGACCACACAAGUGUCAGCUUUUUGGGGUGGCUUUGCAUAAAAAUUAUGUGGACCACCUACCGUAGUUACACUACAGACUUUCAUUUGUGUUCAAGCAGUUUAACUGUCAUGGCUCCCCCCCCCCAAAAAAUAUUGGAAAUUGGUGAGGUGUUAAAAAGCCUAUUAGAAAUUUCCUAGCCUUUCCCUCAAUUCCAAGGAUUGUAAGUAGAGAGAAUGUAUAUUAAACCAACUUUGAAGCAACCAAAUAGGUUUCACCUCUUUCUCUCUAACUUUCAGGUUGUAAGCUUACAUACCCCAACCUGAGACUCAAAUACCCCAUUGGAUUCAAAGGGCUUUUCAUCUACCCCAGUUGGAGGAACUUGACACACCAUAUAUUUAAAGCACAUCCCUGCCCCCAAGAAUCCUGGGAACAGGAGUUUAAGGCAAGCCUGGGAAAUGAAUCCAAAUCUCUGGAAUGUCAAAGAGAUGUUUAGCACUCCUAUAAAGAUGGGGCCUAACAAACCAUUGAACUGGACCAGUGAUUACAGCAGUAUGAGUGACUCUCAGUUCCUUUUUGGUUCCCAGUUCUGCCCAGAGAAUUCACAGUCAGCACUGACCCCGCUUGAACUGAAACAAGACAAAAGUUCACAGCAAAAUUCUCAGGAUAAUGAGCCCAGUAUUUUUGCCAAAUACCAGUCUAAACCACAGCUCUUUGCAGGGGAUGGAAAGGAAAAAGGACCAUUUAAUUUUCCAGCUGGAAGAUUCAAAGGUGUCUUGGAGCAAUUUGAAGAGAAUAAGAAAAAGAUCAAGGAAAAACACGAUAAGUAAGCAAACAGCUGUGAAAUCAGUUGACUCUCCCUUCUAUUGAAUACAAUUGUGUGUAAGUCCUACAAGAUUUCCACCCCCCAUAAAUAUCAUUGCAGCUUGGCUAAGAAACUGUUUAGUAGAGAGGUCUCACUCCCACACUGACAGCUCCUCUACUGUUAAUGCAACUUCACCACCCUCUCCGCAGCAGAUCACAUUGUGCCCCCAGCAUGGUGCAGACAGAAAGCCAGGAGUGGUCAUGGGCUGAUGUGGCUCAAGAGCCAGUCACUGCAUCUGGCAGAUGCCCAGGGGCAGGACCAGUGGAAGGCCUUCAAAGGGUGCCACCCCUGGCUAUAGCAGCUCUCUUCUCUUUC